rnacentral:rRNA from 1 species
AUUGAACGCUGGCGGAAUGCUUUACACAUGCAAGUCGAACGGUAGAGGGGGGCAACCCCUUGAGAGUGGCGAACGGGUGAGUAAUAUAUCGGAACGUGCCCAGUCGUGGGGAUAACGUAGCGAAAGUUACGCUAAUACCGCAUACGAUCUAAGGAUGAAAGCGGGGGAUCGCAAGACCUCGCGCGAUUGGAGCGGCCGAUAUCAGAUUAGGUAGUUGGUGAGGUAAAGGCUCACCAAGCCGACGAUCUGUAGCUGGUCUGAGAGGACGACCAGCCACACUGGGACUGAGACACGGCCCCAGACUCCUACGGAGGCAGCAGUGGGGAAUUUUGGACAAUGGGCGCAAGCCUGAUCCAGCAAUGCCGCGUGCAGGAUGAAGGCCUUCGGUU